ACAGAUGCCUGACCACUACUAAGCUGUAACUGAUACUGCAGUUGAGAUACAAGAUGUGAAUCUAAAAGAAAUCACCUCGGAUGUCUAGCCCUGUCCUCAAAUAAUUUCAGCUCGGCUGUCUCAUGACUACAACCAUACAAGAAACCCCAGCAGCCAACAUAUGGAAACAACCUAAAUGUCUGUCGACAGGUGAAUGAAUAAAGAAAAUGUGGUAUAUACAUACAGCAGAAUAUUGUUCAGUCUUAAAAAAGAAGGAAACCUUACAAUAUGCAGCAUCAUGAAUGAACAUGGAGGACAUUAUGCUAAAUGAAAUAAGCCAGUCACAGAAGGAACAGACACUGCCUGAUUCCAAUCGUAGGAGAUAACUAGUAUUGUCAAAUUUAUAAAAUUGACAAGAGAAUGGUAGUUGCUAGUGGGUGAGCAGAGGGGAAGAUGAGGAGUUAUUGUUGAAUGUGUAUAAAGUUUUAAUUAUGCAAGAUGAGUAAGUUCUAGCGAUCUAUUGUACAACCUUGUGCCUAUAGUUAACAAUGAUGUAUUGUGGAUGUAAAAAUUUGUUAAAGAGGAUACAUCUCAUAUUGUUUUCUU
rnacentral:lncRNA from 1 species